AUUUUCAGUUUCCUGAGCUUGUCAGGUUACUAUGUGGCCCCUUUUCUGUCCACAAUAUAAACAUGCUAACUUCUACAUGGUUGGUCCACAUUUACUACUACUGAAGUGUUUUACUGCUGAUAAAAGGCGUCACAUAGAAAGAAAACGUCGCUCUUCCUCUUCUGGACAUCCUAUGUCUGUCUGUGGCUUUGGGGCACCUGCAGGCAUCAUUCAGCCAGCAAAGGGGGCUAACCUAUGGCUGAAGCCCCCAGCCCAGAAUGGAAGAACAGAAAGAGGGAGAGCCGCUUGGGCCUUGACGACGUGGUGGGGCCAAAACGUGACUAAGACAACUCGACCCCUAAUUCCGUGAAAGUCGGUUUCAGCUUCUGUCCAUGAGGGAAUAAUUCCUACAGAAUUCGUCCUUCCAUGCUAAAUAACUAGAAAACUAGACAAAAUAUAUGGUUUUACUAUUUUCAAACAGGAGACAAGAAGUGAAAGAUGGAGAAUCUUGAAAGAAGGGAACAAUGAGAUAAACCCGAUGACUGCCCUCAUUUUUUGCCUAGAUCAGCAGAGAAAAACCAAUGAAACAAAAGGCUGGUUCUUUGGUGAGAUCAAUAAAACUGAUAAACCUAUAGCUAUACUGACCUCAAUAAAAACAGAGAAGACAUGGAUUACCCUUACUAACGAUGGGAGAGGGUAUCACAGUGUUACUUAAACCUUAGGGUUAAAAGGAGACUAUUUGAACAACUUUAGAUGAGAUGCAGAAAUUCCUCAACCCAUACAAAUGACUAAACCUGACCAAGGAAAAACUCAAGCACCUGAGUAUUCCGAUAUUUAUUGAUUAUAUUAAAUUUGCAAGUAAAAACCUUUCAACAAAGGAGAGUCGAGGCACAGCUGGACACACUGAUAAAUUCUCUCAAGCAUUUAAGGAAGACAUUUGUCCUACACAAACACUUUCUGAAAAUAAAAGAGCAGGCUGUUUAUUGGGGUCCCUUUCUCUCCAGCCCAUUUACUGGAGCGGGGCUUUGCAAAGCUCGUCUCCUAGCAGCCGGACGAACGCAGAAGGCCCAUUCAUAUUACAAUGGACGGAAAGGAAAGAAAGAGCUGCGUUUGUUUAAACUGCCUCUGUCUUCAUUCACAGCCUGAUGUCCGUGUGCAUUGUGACACCCACAAUGGCCGUAAAGGACUCAUUGUGGCUGAAAACAAAUCAAAACAGAAGAAGGGGUGCUAAGAUAAAAGAGCCAUGCAACAAAAUUGCUUAAAAAAUCUAAGUCUUACAUCUGAGAUUUAUGUUACCUUUUGGCUGUGUGGCCUAUUGACCAGUGUUUAUAAAAACCACUAGAGUUUAAUAAACAAAAAGAUAAAUGGGAACUUUAUGGACAUUUUUGAAGGCGCUUACACAGAAGGGAUGGGUCUGCCGGGUUGCUCUGGAAGCUGUUUAAGAAUUAUCGCUUUUUGUUUGCACAACAUUUGGGGAGCCGCGCUCCCACUUUGUGUUUAC